rnacentral:rRNA from 1 species
AUACGUAGGUGACAAGCGUUAUCCGGAUUUACUGGGCGUAAAGGGCGUGUAGGCGGUCUUGCAAGUCAGAAGUGAAAUUCCUGAGCUCAACUCGGGCGCUGCUUCUUAAACUGCAGGACUUGAGUGCUGGAGGGGAUAGCGGAAUUCCUAGUGGAGCGGUAAAAUGCGCAGAUAUUAGGAAGAACACCGGUGGCGAAGGCGGCUAUCUGGACAGUAACUAACGCUGAGGUGCGAAAGCGUAGGAAGCAAACAGGAUUAGAUCCCCUGGUAGUCAACGCCGUAAACGAUGAAUACUAGGUGUAGGGGGUAUCGACUCCCUCUGUGCCGCAGUUAACACAAUAAGUAUUCCGCCUGGGGAGUACGGCCGCAAGGUUGAAACUCAAAUGAAUUGACGGGG